rnacentral:rRNA from 1 species
CAGUAGCCACGGGAAUACGUAGGGUGCGAGCGUUGUCCGGAAUUACUGGGCGUAAAGAGCUCGUAGGCGGUUUGUCACGUCGUCUGUGAAAUCCUAGGGCUUAACCCUGGACGUGCAGGCGAUACGGGCUGACUUGAGUACUACAGGGGAGACUGGAAUUUCUGGUGUAGCGGUGGAAUGCACAGAUAUCAAGAAGAACACCGAUGGCGAAGGCAGGUCUCUGGGUAGUAACUGACGCUGAGGAGCGAAAGCAUGGGUAGCGAACAGGAUUAGAUACCCCAGUAGUCCCUGUCUCUUAUAC